GCCAAAUCUUCGUAAGUAUGCCAACAACCAAAUUUAUUUGUUCCAUUGUCAAGACAUCAGCAUCAGAAAGAUCUUCUCGUAGGAUUUGAUCAAAAAGUAAUUGAUGACUUCUUACAAAUUCAAUGACUUCACGUACAACUUUGUUUUUAACCUCAAAAAAUUCAGAUGCAUCAACCAAUGAAGUAAGUGAAAACACCAAUCUCAAGAUUGGAGCUAUUAUCAUUCGCUGUUUAUCAACAUCAACUGACAGUUCUCUUCCAAAUUUGCCAUCCAUGCGCCGGUAGCUUCCCUUCAAUUGCAUAUUUAGUGCCUUACAGGCAGAUAUGUGCUCAUAUGCACCCAUUGAAAAAAGCACCUGGGCCCCAGAUUUACCAUACUUGUGGCUAAUUCUCAGAAGAAGAGCAAGUUCCGCUUCAAGAGUGCAGACACGCUGCAUUGACUCUAACGAGAGCCCACCAUCCUGAGAAAAGUUAUUGAUGUUCACAAGGCAAGACCUUAAAAAGCCUCUGCUCUGCAGUUGACUCAAGAAAAACUUUUCAUGAUCAAUGCAAAUUAAAGCAUCCAAAACAUAGAGCGAGAUGGUUUUUCCAGAUUCGCUGCCAUGGAUUGCAUCUUUUAUGAUCAGAUCUAGAAGUGAUUGAGCCUCCUUCCUUAUUAUUGAAAAAUUUGCAUAUGCCAUUUCGGUCUGAUCUUUGACAAUCUUUUCAAGAUCCUGAUCAUCAUUUUCCUGUUCAUCCAUUGUCAAUAACUGCAUUACUGUGGUAGGAAGAUCAGGAUCAAGCAUAUGUUGACAGUACUGGAUAUAGCUAAGGAGCAAGGCAUAUUGGCGCCUCCUCA
rnacentral:misc_RNA from 1 species